CCUACGGGAGGCAGCAGUUCAGAAUCUUGCGCAAUGGGCGAAAGCCUGACGCAGUGAUACCGCGUGCGGGAAGAAGGCCUUCGGGUCGUAAACCGCUGUCAGGGGGAACGAAUAAUGACGGUACCCCCAAAGGAAGCCUCGGCUAACUACGUGCCAGCAGCCGCGGUAAAACGUAGGAGGCAAGCGUUAUCCGGAAUCACUGGGCGUAAAGCGUUCGUAGGCGGCUUCAUAAGUCGGGGGUGAAAUCCUCGAGCUCAACUCGGGAACUGCCCCCGAUACUAUGGGGCUAGAGCACGUCAGGGGGCGAUGAAAUUCCCGGUGUAGCGGUAAAAUGCGUAGAUAUCGGGAGGAACACCAGUGGCGAAGGCGGCCUUCUGGCCCGUUCCUGACGCUGAGGCGCGAAGGCUAGGGGAGCGAACAGGAUUAGAUACCCCGGUAGU
rnacentral:rRNA from 1 species